AGUAACUGCGAGUGAAGCGGGAAAAGCUCAAAUUUAAAAUCUGGUGGUCUUUGGCCAUCCGAGUUGUAAUUUAGAGAAGCGUCUUCCGCGCUGGGCCGUGCACAAGUCUCCUGGAAUGGAGCGUCAUAGAGGGUGAGAAUCCCGUCUUUGGCACGGACCCCCAGGGCUUCUGUGAUGCGCUCUCGACGAGUCGAGUUGUUUGGGAAUGCAGCUCAAAAUGGGUGGUGAACUCCAUCUAAAGCUAAAUAUUGGCGAGAGACCGAUAGCGAACAAGUACCGUGAGGGAAAGAUGAAAAGCACUUUGGAAAGAGAGUGAAACAGUACGUGAAAUUGUUGAAAGGGAAACGCUUGAAGUCAGUCGCGUCGACCGAGACUCAGCCUUGCCUCGGCUUGGUGUACUUCUCGGUUUGACGGGUCAGCAUCAAUUUUGAUCCUUGGAUAAUGGCAAGGGAAAGGUAGCACCUUUUUAGGUGUGUUAUAGUCCUCUGUCGCAUGCGAGGGUCAGGAUUGAGGAACUCAGCAUGCACCUUCGGGUGUCGGGGCCUUGGCCCACGUUACGUGCUUAGGAUGCUGGCAUAAUGGCUUUAAACGACCCGUCUUGAAACACGGACCAAGGAGUCUAACAUACCCGCGAGUGUUCGGGUGGAAAACCCGUGCGCGUAAUGAAAGUGAAAGUUGGGACCUCUGUCGUGGAGGGCACCGACGCCCGGACCAGACCUUCUGUGACGGCUCUGCGGUAGAGCGUGUAUGUUGGGACCCGAAAGAUGGUGAACUAUGCCUGAAUAGGGUGAAGCCAGAGGAAACUCUGGUGGAGGCUCGUAGCGAUUCUGACGUGCAAAUCGAUCGUCAAAUUUGGGUAUAGGGGCGAAAGACUAAUCGAACCAU
rnacentral:rRNA from 1 species